CAAGGUGCUAAACAGCUCUACAGGAAACAGUGAUAGAUCAUCAUGCUCUACCUAGUUGCUCCUGUGUGGUAACCUGGAUUGGUUUYUGUUUUGAGUGGCUGACCCAUCAGUCACUCAGGUGGCACUGAAUGCACUAAGGGUUGAUGUCAGAAUGUCUGAACAAGUGAAGAAAAACACCAAGUCCCUCCUUGCAGUGAAGAAAACAAGAUCGGCCAAGGCUGGUCUGCAGUUCCCAGUGGGUCGUGUCUACCGGCUGCUGAAGAGAGGCAACUAUGCCGAGAGAAUAGGUCCUGGUG